ACUAGAGUAGCACUCGCAUAUCAAUAAGCGGAGGAAAAGAAACUAACUAGGAUUCCCUUAGUAACGGACGAGUGAAGCGGGAAGAGCUCAAAUCUGAAAUCUUCAAGGUUCUACCUUGACGAAUUGUAGUUUAUAGAAGUGUUUUCUGUUAGUGGAGUUGGCUAAAAGUUCUUUGGAAUAGGACAUCAUAGAGGGUGAGAAUCCCGUAUUUGAAUCAUUCCUCCUAACUUUGUGAUACACUUUCAACGAGUCGGAUUGUUUGGGAAUGCAGUCCAAAAUGGGUGGUAAAUUUCAUCUAAAGCUAAAUACUUGGCGAGAGACCGAUAGCGAACAAGUACCGUGAGGGAAAGAUGAAAAGAACUUUGAAAAGAGAGUUAAACAGUACGUGAAAUUGUCAAAAGGGAAGCGUUUGACACCAGUGUUGUUUUUCUCGAAAAUCAAUUAAGAAUGGUGGGAUUUUGUGUUGCAUUGACUUUAUCAGCUUUCUGCACUUUUUUCCUAUCUUUUUUAAUGCACUUUUCGUUUAACAAGUCAACAUCAAUUUCUUUUGUUGUAAAAGGGUAAGAGGGAGGUGGCUUACGCUUCGGCGUAAGUGUUUAUAGCCUUUUACCUCUGCAAUCGGAGGGAUUGAGGACAGCAGCGUAGACUCUUCGGGGUUAGAUACACUUGUGCUAAGCUAUAGCCUUGUAUAGACAACUUGUUGACUAUGCUCAGUCAUGUAGCUUACUCGCUUGUGCUAUUUUACCUACGCUUAGGAUGUUG
rnacentral:rRNA from 1 species